CUAAACAAGACCCUCAGGGUAAAGUGCUCCAUAUGUUUUAGGAGAGGGGUUUUUUUUUGUGUUGCUUUAGUGAGAAUGUGGGAGAGGGUUUUAGAAAACUUUCUAGCUCAGCUUUCUUGGGUUACUUUUUCCAUGAAAGGUAACAGAUGCUCACUGUGACGUGAACGUUAUUUCCAUGCUUACAGAGAAGAAAUAAGGAUCAGUGUGAUCGAGACUUAAAGGUGCUUUGAGGAACUUCCCAAAUUUACCCACCACGCGUCACUCAGUUGAAUCAUUCCUCCAGGGUAGGAGGAGGCUUCCUAAUGUGUCGCGGUAUCUGUAAGGGAUACGGAUACCCAUUUCUGCUUGGUCCCCAUACUGUUAUUUCCUAGAAGCUAAAUAUCUGUCUAUGCCCUAUUCUUUGCAUUCUUCCCUACAUACCCGCUGCCAGCUACUGUCAGACCCAAAAUACUGCACUGCUUGGACAUUUGGUCUUAUGUAAUAUGGCAUUUAUGUUCUUAUGAAGUUUGGGAGGUUUCCUGUUUUUCAUUAUGGUCUCCACUGAGCAGGCAACAUGCAAAAUGAUCCCAGCAAAUUUGGUGGGUUUGCUGAAUGUCUCUUAAACGCUUUCUCCUACAUGCAGUCCUGCCUUCAGUGAGGCUGACAGUUGACUGAGCUCUCUACCACCCACCCAAAAGGUCUUUACCUUUCGUAUGUUGCAUGUUCACCAUAAGGCUACUAGUCCCACUAGUGUAAGUAAGGGUUGUGCAAGUGAACCAUGUCAGACCCUGAAAUCCUGAUUGUUUUUAAUGGCCAAAGGAGCUGCUGCAAUAAGAACCUGAUCUUCCAUGUAAGACGGGCCUCAAAAUUUCUUCUGCUAAUUGUUGCUUCUGUCCCAGCCACUUUUAGUUGUGGUUGAGAAGGUAUGUGGAUACCUCCUCAGCAAUGGCCAGAAGGGUUGAUAUGGGCCUUUAUCACAGAAAAGGGUAGUGAAGGGAAGAGGCAUGCAGUGAAGCUGAAGUGAUGCAGCAGUGGCCUUUUGACAGGGAUGCGGUUUUCAGAAUGUCUCCUUCUAUUUCUGGCAGAAGAUGUCAGGGCAAAUGAAUCCUGGAAGCCCUCAAGUGCAAGUCUGGAUAUGUUCUGUCUCCAUUUACCAGCUCUGCUGAAGGAGAAAUGACUGCCAUGCCACUGUCCCAUCACUCAGCAGCUAUCUGGCAAACUCUCCCUUACAUCAGCACUGCAGCUGCCUUGCGUGCUAUCUGUUGACUAUUUUCUUUUCCUCAACCUUUAUGCCCUGAACUGACCAGUUUUUAGAAUUUACAGGGUAAGUGUCAGACAUCCCAUUGAGAACUGAACACUGAUGAAAAAAUGCUGGAAAGCUGAUGGAAAUUGCUAGAAAGCAGCAUUAUUUAUCCACUGGAAAAGUAUACUACAUACAUUGUCAGAGCAAGCACCACAUCUCCUGGCUUCCCUAUUGUCCUCCAAGCCUCUGCUGAAUUUGAUGCUUGUUCAAGGUCAACCAGCCACUUUUGUCUCCUGGCUCUGUGCUGUAUCCUCUUGCUUUUGGAGAUUUUCUGCAGCAGGACCAGCCAGCUUCAGGAAAGAAGGGAUAAACCUCCCUUGUUGGCACAAUUGUUUUUGCUCAGGUUCAGUUCAAAUCUUCUCUCUUUCCCCCAUCAACACUCUUGGGCUCACCAGUUUCUUUGGGGUAACUGACACCCUCAAGUCCAACCAGUUUGAGGGAUGAGCAAGGUCAGAAUUUUAUUUUAGUGCAUCUCUCACCUUGAAAAGUGUUAAAAAAUCAUGAAAUAAUUGCUAGAGUUGGUUGGAAAAUUUAUUUUACAUGUUUUUUUUCUGCCACAAAGGCAAAUAUGUUCAAACUGAAAUGGUGGGAAAUGGGAUGGUUUCACCUGAUUUUCCAGCUUACACAAAGGUUAUAAGUCUUCUA